rnacentral:rRNA from 1 species
UACGUAGGGGGCAAGCGUUGUCCGGAUUUAUUGGGCGUAAAGAGCGUGUAGGCGGCCUGACAAGUCUGCUGUGAAAACUCGAGGCUCAACCUCGAGAUGUCGGCGGAAACUGUCUGGCUAGAGUCCGGAAGAGGAGAGUGGAAUUCCUGGUGUAGCGGUGAAAUGCGCAGAUAUCAGGAAGAACACCGGUGGCGAAGGCGGAUCUCUGGGCCAUUACUGACGCUGAGGAGCGAAAGCGUGGGGAGCGAACAGG